CUGCCCGUAGCAGGGGGAUAAGCGGAAGAAAUUCCGUCUAAUACCGCGUAAUAUCUUUCGGGGGCAUCCCUGAGGGAUUAAAGGAAGCGAUUCCGGCUACGGAUGGGCAUGCGGCGCAUUAGCUAGUCGGCGGGGUAACGGCCCACCGAGGCGACGAUGCGUAGGGGUUCUGAGAGGAAGGUCCCCCACACUGGUACUGAGACACGGUCCAAACUCCUACGGAAGGCAGCAG
rnacentral:rRNA from 1 species